CGCAGGCGGGAAGACAAGUUGGAAGUGAAAACCAUGGGCUCAACCCAUGAAUUGCUUUCAAAACUGUUUUUCUUGAGUAGUGCAGAGGUAGAUGGAAUUCCCGGUGUAGCGGUGGAAUGCGUAGAUAUCGGGAGGAACACCAGUGGCGAAGGCGGUCUACUGGGCACCAACUGACGCUGAGGCUCGAAAGCAUGGGUAAGCAAACA
rnacentral:rRNA from 1 species